rnacentral:rRNA from 1 species
AUUGAACGCUGGCGGCAGGCCUAACACAUGCAAGUCGAGCGAGCGGCGGACGGGUGCGUAAUGUAUGGGGACUGCCCGAUAGAGGGGGAUAACUACUGGAAACGGUAGCUAAUACCGCAUACUAACGGAUAACCCAUAUGGGAUUAGCUAGUAGGUGAGGUAAUGGCGAACCUAGGCGACGAUCCCUCGCUGGUCUAAGAGGAUGAUCAGCCACACUGUGACUGCGACACGGCCCAGACUCCUACGGAGGCAGCAGUGGGGAAGAUUGCACAAGGGGCGCAAGACUGAUGCAGCCAUGCCGCGUGUAUGAAGAAGGCCCUAGGGUUGUAAAGUACUUUCAGUCGGGAGGCGUUACCGACAGAAGAAGCACCGGCUAACUCCGUGCCAGCAGCGGCGGUAAUUC